ACAGUAUGUCAUAUAUGCAUGAACUUGAUUGAUGUAUUGAUGUAUAAUGAACUGAAGAUAUAAUGAAUUCAAUCAGGUUAAAAAAAAUGUAUGUGCAAAAGCGACUCGAAGACGAUUUAGAUUUGUCUCCUGAAUAUAAAACUUCCAAGAAGUACAUCAUAUAUGAAUAUCCUGUAUCCUCGCAUUUGAUGUAUUGAACUGGCGAUAGAAUGAAAUCAGUCAGUGUUAAAAAUGUAUGUGUAAAAGCGACUUUAAGAUGAUGGAGAUUUGUACACUGAACAUAAAACUUCCAAAAUUUGGGGCAGUAUGUCAUAUGUGCAUAAUCUGUAUCCUGGCAUUUGAUGCAAUGAACUGGCGAUAGAAUGAAAUAAUGAAAAAUAGGCAGGCUGUUUGAUGUAUAAGGAAGUGGCGAUAGAAUACUUAUGCAACACUUCACACUUCACGC